CAUCUAAUCACGACGUUUGCUGAUUCUGUAGUUGAUUCAGAAACACGGUGGUAAAUGUGCUGCACGUGCAUGAAGGGAGACAACUAAAUAUUAUUCUGUUUUCUAGCUUUCUGACUAAAUAUCAGGAGAUCCCAUGAUGCUCAUCUUCUUCUUCAGCAUUACUUUUACCACCAUGCUGGUUUCAGACUCUUCUCCCAACGACCAAGUGCAUCAGUCUCCACCAGAAAUGUUCAACACAUUAAACAGUGAAGCCGAAAUUCAGUGUUUUCACAACAGUAGCUACAACACAAUCCUCUGGUACAAACAGUCAAACAGAGACAUGCAGCUCCUGGGAUACAUGUAUGUAAGCUCUAUAAAUCUAGAGACAGGAGUGAAUGUGAACAUUGGAGGGAGCACAAAUAAAGGAGAAAAGUGCACGUUGUUAAUCAAAGAACUCAGCCUGAACAGCAGUGGAGUUUACUUCUGUGCUGCUAGUUAA